rnacentral:rRNA from 1 species
GACGAACGCUGGCGGCGUGCUUAACACAUGCAAGUCGAACGGAAAGGCCCUGCUUUUGUGGGGUGCUCGAGUGGCGAACGGGUGAGUAACACGUGAGUAACCUGCCCUUGACUUUGGGAUAACUUCAGGAAACUGGGGCUAAUACCGGAUAGGAGCUCCUGCUGCAUGGUGGGGGUUGGAAAGUUUCGGCGGUUGGGGAUGGACUCGCCGCUUAUCAGCUUGUUGGUGGGGUAGUGGCUUACCAAGGCUUUGACGGGUAGCCGGCCUGAGAGGGUGACCGGCCACAUUGGGACUGAGAUACGGCCCAGACUCCUCCGGGAGGCAGCAGUGGGGAAUAUUGCACAAUGGGCGGAAGCCUGAUGCAGCAACGCCGCGUGCGGGAUGACGGCCUUCGGGUUGUAAACCGCUUUCGCCUGUGACGAAGCGUGAGCGACGGUAAUGGGUAAAGAAGCACCGGCUAACUACGUG